rnacentral:rRNA from 1 species
GUUGUUCGGAAUUACUGGGCGUAAAGCGAGUGUAGGUGGUUUGCCAAGUUGGGUGUGAAAGCCUUGAACUCAACUCAAGAAAUGCACUCAGUACUGGCAGACUAGAGGACCGGAGAGGAUAGUGGAAUUCCCAGUGUAGUGGUGAAAUACGUAGAGAUUGGGAAGAACACCAGUGGCGAAGGCGGCUAUCUGGACGGUUUCUGACACUAAGACUCGAAAGCGUGGGGAGCAAACAGGAUUAGAUACCCUGGUAGUCCACGCCGUAAACGAUGGGUGCUAGACGUUGGCGAGCUUGCUCGUCAAGUGUCGCAGCUAACGCGUUAAGCACCCCGCCUGGGGAGUACGGNCGCAAGGUUGAAACUCAAAGGAAUUGACGGGGGNCCGCACAAGCGGGGGAGCAUGU